AGGGACUGAAGAGCAGAAAUAAGUAGGCAUUUAGCAAGAGUUUUCUGCCUUGAAAUUUUUUAUUGUACGUUUUCCCUUCUCUGAGGACUGAAGAGCACUGUGUUGGGAUAGGCUUCUGCUGAUGUGGCACCAGAAUUUCCAAAUUUGUCAGCUAGAAGGUAUUGCUGCUACCUCCGCCUCCUUUUGUGUGCUGCAGCACUACAGACGUGGCAGCUCCCAGCGCGGCUUCCCAACGAUACAGUACGCAUGCUGUAUGUCCCUGGUGACGGUCAGGACAAGGGGGGAGUCAAUAAUUCCAAGUUAAGAGCCACGAAACACACACACACACACACACACACACACAGACAAAAAUCAGGGAGGAGGAAUGAAGAGUCUGCCAAAAAGAAAAUCAAAAAAAAAAAAAAAAAGAGAGAAAGUAAAAGAUUUUUCUUCUUCUUUAUUUUUUUUUCUUUCCAUAGGAAAAGUUUGGUAGCGGCACAGCCCGAUGCUCAGAGCCUGAGAACUGCCAGAUGCCAGAGUUUUGUUGUCUUUGUUACAGUUUCUCAGUAACACUAAAGAAAUGGCUGUUACGGUUUGACUAAAGCUUGCAAAUCAAGAAAUCUGUAGGGGAAAUCUUUCAGCCUCUUGCCUGCUCCCUCUGAAGGGGGAGAAGCUGGAGGCGGGAUGACUCACCCGUCCCUGGGACUUUUAAUUUUAAGAGUCUGGAGCUGCUGUGAGCGGGGCCAGGCUGUGGAACACCCGGAGCCUUGCAGGGUUUUAUGACCCCCUUCCACGUCAUCCUGCAGCUCUCAAAUCCCUGGAAGAAAUAUGCAGGCAGAGCAGGGGGGAAGGGAAUCCUCCACUUUUUGACCUGCAGGUUUUCUUGCACUCUGUUCAAGCGCUUGCAUCUUUAACCCAUAAGCAUACAUUUUGCCAACAUUCCUCCCAAGUGCAUGUCUACUUCCCAUUGGUUUCCCAAUGCAUUUCUAUAUCCUGCGGGCUUGUUUGGAAAACUAAGGGAGUUAGCAUUUUCCUUUUCGCCUUGGAAAAAGACAUUUUGCCUCUCUUUCUUUGUGCCUGUGCUUUAUGUGCUUGAGGGAUAAGUUCUGCCACCUCUGAGACUUCCCAUUCCUCGAUAUAAAAGUACCUAGGAGGUAAGAUCCAAAACUGGAGUGGCUUAAUAGUGUUUCUAAAUAGCACAAAGAAGCAUGAUAAAGCCAGAGGACACUUCUCUGUGCUGUACCUUCAAUACCCUAAUUUUGUUACCAAGCUAAGUGAAUAACUAGGAAUUUACAGCUAAGCAGAAAGGUGCUUGUUUUUCUUUCAGAAAAAAACGCAUGGAGAGGGAGCAAUAGUCUCCUCAGCUGUUAGAAAGAGCAGUUUUAAUGAACAGCAAAUGUCUAAACUUCCCUGCUGCUCCCCACCCUCCUGAAAAAGUUUCCCUGCUCCUUGCCACAACAUAAACACUGUAUGUGGCAUUAUUUUUUUUAGCCUAAUCCGAGUUGUUUCACAUAGCUGUGCAACAAAAGAGUGCAAAAAUCAUCUGGAAAACACAUGCAGGAUAGAGGCAGGGCUUCGAACCAUCUGUGCACGGUCAGAUUGAAAGAAUCUCAUGGAGCAGCUCUGCAAGGGGAAGCUGGCUUGUUUCACUUCGUGACGUGUCAGGAGGAUGCAAAUGAUAGACCAUACUGGGGCUGAGCACAAGGCCUGGGCAAAGCAUAAAAUAGCCUUUGCUAAACUGCCCCCUGGAUCUCGGUGAGUAAACGUACCACAGCCCCUGGUCGUGCAAAUGUGAAAUGCUUAAUGCUUAUGAAGGAGAGCCUUACAUUACUGAGAUAUCACAAAACGGGAGACCCGAAGGACGAAGGAGGAAAUUGUUUUGUAAAAUAAGAUUCAAGACUUUUGAGGGCUUUUCCUACUUUUUUCAGGUUUUGUAAACACGCAUUUAACAUUGCCUGAAGAGUUUUACAUUCUCCCUUUUAAUUCCUGCUGGUUUAAGCGAUGGGCAUCUUUACUACAUCUGCUUCUCUAUGAGAAAACUAAGAAAAGUUUUUAACUAAAAAACUUUUAUUUUUGCCGUAACGUGUUUUUUUUUUUUUUUUUAAGAAACACUUCUGCUUUUAGUAAUAUACCUGGGGUUGAUAAACAAUAUUUUUAUUUAAUUCUUCACUUAAGAACAUUACUGAAAAGUUUACAAGAGCCCGAGGUUACGGUAAAGCAGAGUCAUCUUUGGGGAAAUUUUCUGAUUUGAAAGAUGUUGGUUGUAUUUUUGUUUUUUUGUUUUUUUUUAAUAAAGUUUGCGUGAAAAGAACUUGAAAACCUCUCCCCACCAGUAGCAGACACCCCCUUCUCAGAGUCACAUAAAUAUCUUCUGGUCAGGGUGUUUGGAAGCCAGCUAAUUCAGCUUUCUGCGUGAAACAACAUUGGUGCAAACGCUGUGUCACGUCAGCUACGGCUCGCUCACGUGUUGUGAGGUAGAAUGAAGAGGUUAAUUCCAGUGUCUACCUAAAAGCUCCACUUGACAAAACCUUGGCAGAAGCUGGGAACUUUUCCUGACAAUGUAAAUGUUGGUGAGCAAGAACUUAAAAAUCUGUCAAAGACCAGUGAGUCUCAAAACCACCUGUUCAAGCACUUGUUACUUUUGCACAUCGAGGGAUAUGGUACGUACUCUCUGAUAUGAAACAUCUGACUUUGCCUCAAAGCAAUCUGAAAGUUUAUAUAUAUAUGUAUAUAUAUAUAUGUAUUUUAUAUAUGUAGAUAUAAGAAUAUGUGAAGUUCUUUGUAUCAAGUUAGAUACUCUCAAAGCAGUGAAAUCCAGGUGAUUUCAGUGUUUUAUUUAAUGAAAACCUUUCAUAGACCUCAUCUAUCUAAACUUAUUAAAUGACAAAGCAGAAAAAAGAAAUUAAAAUUGCUUUCCUUAUAAAAUAUGUUAGUGUCCUGCUGAGGGUUUCUUGCCAUAGGCUUGUACUCUGUCAGUGUGCUGAAUGGUAAGAGGGAUAAAUACAUAGGAAAGACAGGUUCUUGGUACCUCAUACCAGCCUGAACAAACUAUUUCAUUACAAGUCUUUGGGACCAACAUGUUCCAGUGCUGUGGUUGUUCUUCCCCAGGCACAGGACCUCGCACUCCUUGUUGCCAAAGUGCAUGUCAUUCAUGUCAGCUCAUUUCUUCAGCCUUUUGAGGAUGACAGCAUGACCCUUUGGCUCCUUCAAGUUUUGAGUUGUCUGCAAACUUGUUGAGGGUACACUCUAUCCCAUCAUCUGGCUUAUUAAUGCAGAUGCUAUACAGGACUGGACCCACUAGUGACUACUGGGUUACACUGCUAGUUGCUGGCCUCCAAUCGGACUUUGCAUCACUCACUGAUCAUGACCCUCUGGGCUCAGCCAUUCAGUCUAGCUCACUGUUUGCCAAUCCAGCCCAUACAUCAACAGCUUGCCUCUAAGGAUCUUAUGGGAGACAGUGUCAAACACCUUCUUGAAGUCCAGGAAGGCAGUAUCCACUGCUCUUUCUUCAUCUACUGAGCAACUUAUUGCACGACAGAAGCUUAUCAGAUUGGCCAGGCAUGACUUUCCCUUGGCAAACCCAUUCUGACUACUCCCGAUGAUUUUCUUCUCCUUCUUGCACCUGGGAAUGGUUUCUGGGUUAAGCUGCUCCAUCAGCUUCCCAGGGAUGUGAUGCUGACAGGACUGUAAUUCCCUAGGUUCCCCUUCUAGCCCUUUAUGAAGACAGGAUUGCUUUGCAUCUGAAGGCCUUUAAAACUUUCUAUAGUGUGGCUGAGUACUGUUGUCUCCAUCUCACAGGGGAUAACAAAAGCAUUAGAGGGCAAGAUGAUUUGCUUUAGAUG
rnacentral:lncRNA from 1 species